rnacentral:tRNA from 1 species
GUGGGUAUAGCUCAGUGGUAGAGCACCUGCUUAUCAUGCAUGAGAUACUGGAUUCAAGCCCCAAUUCCUCCA